AGAGUUUGAUCCUGGCUCAGGAUAAACGCUGGCGGCGUGCCUAACACAUGCAAGUCGAACGCGCACAGAGCAAUCUGUGUGAGUGGCGGACGGGUGAGUAACACGUGGGUACCUACCCCAAGGUGAGGAAUACUGGCGAGAAAUCGCCAACAAUACCGCAUAGGUUUGGAAACAAACAAAGCUCGUAAGAGCGCCAUGGG
rnacentral:rRNA from 1 species